CCUACGGGAGACAGCAGUGAGGAAUAUUGGUCAAUGGACGAGAGUCUGAACCAGCCAAGUAGCGUGAAGGAUGACUGCCCUAUGGGUUGUAAACUUCUUUUAUAUGGGAAUAAAACAGGGUAUGCAUACCCUCUUGUAUGUACCAUAUGAAUAAGGAUCGGCUAACUCCGUGCCAGCAGCCGCGGUAAUACGGAGGAUCCGAGCGUUAUCCGGAUUUAUUGGGUUUAAAGGGAGCGUAGGUGGAUUGUUAAGUCAGUUGUGAAAGUUUGCGGCUCAACCGUAAAAUUGCAGUUGAAACUGGCAGUCUUGAGUACAGUAGAGGUGGGCGGAAUUCGUGGUGUAGCGGUGAAAUGCUUAGAUAUCACGAAGAACUCCGAUUGCGAAGGCAGCUCACUGGACUGCAACUGACACUGAUGCUCGAAAGUGUGGGUAGCAAACAGGAUUAGAUACCCCGGUAGUC
rnacentral:rRNA from 1 species